CCCUCACGUACUGCAGUUACCAGGCUAUAUGAAUAUCCUCUCACUUUCUCGAUCACCAGAUUCACCACUACUGCACCCAUUUUCUAUUAAUUUUCCAAACACAAUACUAAAUCAAAUGAACCCUAAUUUUGUUUUGCUGCUAGUAAUUAGUCAAAGAUAUGAAAAGUUCACAUACACAUACAACGUCAGGAACAUCUGAUUUGUUAGACUUGGUGCUUUUAAUUUGAGCAUCAAUUUCAUUUUAGGAGAGAAUAAAUGAGAAUGGUGGCUGAAGAUCAGUGCCCUAAAACAACAAAAUCAGUGGAUUUCAAGGGUUUACCCUGGAUGAAUUGGUCUUUGCUUAAAUGGUGGUUGUACUGAUUUUGGAGUCGAAUGAAAUGGAUGUUCUGAAGUUGAAUUUGAAUUGAAUUUCUCUAAUGAGAUAUAAUUAGCAACAACAUCGGAUUUUGGGUUUUUGGCAUCAAUUGAUACUGGAUCUUGAUUUGUUGCCUCCAUGGCCGUGAACAAGGGGCUCAGAGUAAUGGUAGAAAAAACGCAAAAGAAGAUGGCAGUGAAACAAAGUUGGGGUGCGUGUAUCGGCUGGUCGGAAUUCGCAAUGGUGAUGUGAAUGGAGACAGCAAUUGUGAUUAUUCUCUGUUUUCCUAUGGCAACAGUUGAAGUGAUUUUAGUGGUGCUUGUCUUGAUUAUUUACAAUGGGUUUUCCCUAGAUUUGGUCUUGGUUGAAUGGUGAUUGACAACAACAAAAAAUAGGGGAUAUGAUUGUGGGACCGUUUGAUAAUGGUCUUGCUGAUGCCGGGAUUGGUGACGCGGUGGUGUUCUCGGUGUCACAGAGAAAUAAGGAAAGGGAAGAGCUGGUGGUAUUUGGAUUAAUCAAGGCUAAAUGUUUUUAUUACAACAGUUGGAUUAUAAACCCACUUCAGGAAUACACUUGUAAACUCACUUAUUUAUAUUAUUUUUAUUUCAUAAAAUAAAAUAAAAAUAGACUUAAUUGGGUCAA